UGGUCAAGUUAUUAAGGGUGCAGGGCGGAUGCCUUGGCACUAGGAGCCGAUGAAGGACGUGAUAAGCUGCGAUAAGCUUCGGGGAGUUGCACGUAAACUUUGAUCCGAAGAUUUCCGAAUGAGGAAACUCACUUAGAGUAAUGUCUAAGUAUCAUUAAGUGAAUACAUAGCUUAAUGAGGGGAACUCAGGGAACUGAAACAUCUAAGUACCUGAAGGAAGAGAAAGAAAUUCGAUUCCGUAAGUAGCGGCGAGCGAACGCGGAUUAGCCCAAACCAAUAAAGUUUUCUUUAUUGGGGUUGCGGACAUAUCAUAACGAAGAGGUAUCGUAAUUGAAGAGGUUUGGAAAGACCCACCACAGAAGGUAAUAGUCCUGUAUGUUAAACGAGAAGACUUUAGAUAUGAUCCAGAGUACCACGGGACACGUGAAACCCUGUGGGAAGCAGGAGGGACCACCCUCCAAGGCUAAAUACUACCUAGUGACCGAUAGCGUAUAGUACCGUGAGGGAAAGGUGAAAAGAACCCCGGGAGGGGAGUGAAAUAGAACCUGAAACCCUGCACUUACAAGCUGUGGAAGCACAUUUCUUGUGUGACCGCGUACUUUUUGUAGAACGGGCCAACGAGUUACGUUAAGUAGCAAGGUUAAGCACUUAAGGUGUGGAGCCGUAGCGAAAGCGAGUUUUAACUGAGCGUUCAGUUACUUGACGUAGACCCGAAACCGGGCGACCUACCCAUGAGCAGGAUGAAGCGAAAGUAAAAUUUCGUGGAGGUCCGAACCCACGAGCGUUGAAAAGCUCGGGGAUGACUUGUGGGUAGCGGUGAAAUUCCAAUCGAGCCCGGAGAUAGCUGGUUCUCCCCGAAAUAGCUUUAGGGCUAGCCUCAAGGUGAGAGAUACGGAGGUAGAGCACUGAAUGUCCUAGGGGGUAUUGCACCUACCGAAGACUAUCAAACUCCGAAUGCCGUCAUCUUAUACUUGGGAGUCAGACUGUGGGUGAUAAGAUUCAUAGUCGAAAGGGCAACAGCCCAGAUCGUCAGCUAAGGUCCCUAAAUGUAAGUUAAGUGGUAAAGGAUGUGGGAUUGCACAGACAACCAGGAUGUUGGCUUAGAAGCAGCCACUCAUUCAAAGAGUGCGUAAUAGCUCACUGGUCGAGUGAUCCUGCGCCGAAGAUUUCCGGGGCUAAAACUUACUACCGAAGCUACGGCAUCAGUAAUGAUGGGUAGGGGAGCUUCCCAUACGGGUUGAAGCAUGACCGUAAGGACAUGUGGACAGUAUGGGAGUGAGAAUGUUGGCAUGAGUAGCGAGAUGUGGGUGAGAAUCCCACAGGCCGUAAACCCAAGGUUUCCAGGGGAAGGUUCGUCCGCCCUGGGUUAGUCGGGACCUAAGCUGAGGCCGAAAGGCGUAGGUGAUGGACAACAGGUUGAUAUUCCUGUACUACCGAUAACCGUUUGAGAGAAGGGAUGACACAGUAGGAUAAGCUAAGCACACUGUUGGUUAUGUGUGCCCAAGCAUUGAGGCAGUCAAAGUAGGCAAAUCCGCUUUGAUAAUGCUGGGAUGUGAUGGGGAGCGAAAUUUAGUAGCGAAGUAGCUGAUUUCACACUGUCAAGAAAAGUCUCUAUCGAGGUUAAAGGUACCCGUACCGCAAACCGACACAGGUGGGUGAGGAGAGUAUCCUAAGGCCAGCGAGAGAACUGUUGUUAAGGAACUCGGCAAAAUGACCCCGUAACUUAGGGAUAAGGGGUGCCACCAUCAGGUGGCCGCAGAGAAUAGGCCCAAGCGACUGUUUACCAAAAACAUAGGUUUCUGCUAAGUCGCAAGACGAUGUAUAGGAGCUGACGCCUGCCCGGUGCUGGAAGGUUAAGGGGAUCUGUUAGAGCAAUCGAAGCAGUGAACUUAAGCCCCAGUAAACGGCGGCCGUAACUAUAACGGUCCUAAGGUAGCGAAAUUCCUUGUCGGGUAAGUUCCGACCCGCACGAAAGGCGUAACGAUUUGGGCACUGUCUCAACAACAGACUCGGUGAAAUUGUAAUUCCGGUGAAGAUGCCGGAUACCUGCGACAGGACGGAAAGACCCCAUGGAGCUUUACUGUAGCUUGACAUUGGGUCUUGGUACUACAUGUACAGGAUAGGUGGGAGGCUUUGAAACCAGGACGCCAGUUUUGGCGGAGCCAUCCUUGGGAUACCACCCUUGUAGUACUGGGACUCUAACCAUAGGCCAUGAAUCUGGUCUUGGGACACUGUCAGGUGGGCAGUUUGACUGGGGCGGUCGCCUCCCAAAAGGUAACGGAGGCGCUCAAAGGUUCUCUCAGUACGGUCGGAAAUCGUACGUAGAGUGUAAAGGCAAAAGAGAGCUUGAUUGCAAGACAUACAGGUCGAGCAAGGAUGAAAAUCGGACUUAGUGAUCCGGUGGUUCUGCGUGGAAGGGCCAUCGCUCAACGGAUAAAAGCUACCCUGGGGAUAACAGGCUUAUCUCCCCAAGAGUCCACAUCGACGGGGAGGUUUGGCACCUCGAUGUCGGCUCAUCACAUCCUGGGGCUGUAGUAGGUCCCAAGGGUUGGGCUGUUCGCCCAUUAAAGUGGUACGCGAGCUGGGUUCAGAACGUCGUGAGACAGUUCGGUCCCUAUCCGUCGCAGGCGUAGGAAAUUUGAGAAGACCUGUCCUUAGUACGAGAGGACCGGGAUGGACGUACCUCUGGUGUACCAGUUGUCCUGCCAAGGGCAUGGCUGGGUAGCUAUGUACGGAAUGGAUAAGCGCUGAAAGCAUCUAAGCGCGAAGCCAACUUCAAGAUAAGAUUUCCCACCGCAAGGGUAAGACCCCAGAAAGACUAUCUGGUUGAUAGGUCGAAGGUGUAAGUGCAGCAAUGUAUUUAGCUUAUCGAUACUAAUAGGUCGAGGACUUGACCAAU
rnacentral:rRNA from 1 species